AUGCAUCUAUUUGACAGGCCUGAAGCAGUUACUGUCUGCUAAGGUUUCCACUACAGAGGCAAGAAAAAAGUGUCCUUCUGCUUUCUGUCUGUGAUUGUGGCAGCCCAGAUUGAAUGGGGGAAUACAGGG
rnacentral:snoRNA from 1 species